UAGUCCACGCCCUAAACGAUGUUCACUCGAUGUUUGGCCCUUGCGGUUGAGCAUCCAAGCGAAAGCGAUAAGUGAACCACCUGGGGAGUACGUUCGCAAGAAUGAAACUCAAAUGAAUUGACGGGGGCCCGCACAAGCGGUGGAGCAUGUGGUUUAAUUCGAUGCAACGCGAAGAACCUUACCUACUCUUGACAUCCAGAGAAGCUUGAAGAGAUUCGAGUGUGCCUUCGGGAACUCUGAGACAGGUGCUGCAUGGCUGUCGUCAGCUCGUGUUGUGAAAUGUUGGGUUAAGUCCCGCAACGAGCGCAACCCUUAUCCUUGUUUGCCAGCACGUAAUGGUGGGAACUCCAGGGAGACUGCCGGUGAUAAACCGGAGGAAGGUGGGGACGACGUCAAGUCAUCAUGGCCCUUACGAGUAGGGCUACACACGUGCUACAAUGGCGUAUACAGAGGGCUGCCAACUCGCGAGAGUGAGCGAAUCCCAGAAAGUACGUCGUAGUCC
rnacentral:rRNA from 1 species